GUGUUUCUGGGAAUGGUUUUUCGCCCUGUUCAAAAGAGAUUACACCCUGAGGAAAGCCCUUUUAUUUUACUCCUAUCCCUUGCUUUCUGCUUUUGGAAAUGUUCUGUGAAGGUUUGAUUCCUGGAGCCACCUUAAGACUUUGAGUCUUUGGGGAGGGGGGAUAGUAGGUAAUAAGGUUUAUUUAUUUUUAAUGGAGAUACUGGGGAUUGAACCCAGGACCUUGUGCAUGCUAAGCACAGACUCUUACCACCAAGCUAUACUCUCUUCCCCCACCAACUUUGAGUCUUUUCAUGUAAAGAGAAUCGAAGAGAUGCCAACUUAGUGCUCUGACACUGUGAAGCUGCUUAGCCAAACUUAAAACCACCCGUCUCUAAAUUUACUGUUACAUAGUAGGUGCUUAAUAUGUAAUUUGUUGUUGGAUGUUGCAUUUGAUUAUUGGAUACAAGGUAUGAGGAAACUGAGAAAUGAAAGUUUAUUUUCAGGUUUUUGGUUUAAAUAACUGGUUAAAUGGUUUUUGUUUUUUUGUUUUUUUUUUUUAACUAAGAUCAGAAUCCUGAAGGAAGAGGUGGGAACUGAAGAAGAGACACGGGGAAAGCUAACAGUUUAGCUUUUGACACAUUUUGAGGUUUAAGAGACUGUGGUACAUAUACCUAGAGAUGUCUACUAGUCAGUCAUAUAUGCAGGUACGGAAAAAGGAGAGAGAUGCAGAUUUGAUGUCUUCAACAUAAAGAUGAUAAUUAAGCCACGAGGAUGGUGAAGACCACUCAGGGAAAUAUGCAGAGCUGGAGAGUGGUAGUCUUAAUGGAGAGCCUGGCUUUAGUAGGGAGUCUGAAGAAUGAUCAUACUUAAAGUAGAGAAAAGAAUUCUAUAAAAGGAGUAUGAGAAGCAAUGUUUGGAGAGGGAGAACUUAGGGGCUCUCACAAUCCAAGGAAAGAGAGAGUUUCAAGGAGAAGUUGUAGAAUGUCAGAUGUUGCAGAGGGUAAAGACUGGAAAGUGUCCAUUGUGUGCAUGUAGAAAACAAUAUGGCUUCUAUUUUUAUUUAUUUGACGUGUAUGUGUGUGUGUGUGUGUGUAUUUUUUUUUUUAAUAGAGGUACCGGGAAUUAAACCCAGGACUUCGUGCAUGCUAAGUAUGCACUCUACCACUAAGCUAUACCCAACCCCCUGGACAUAUAUUUAUUGAGAACCUACCAUGGCAGAUACUCCUUUUAAGUGUUGGGUAGAUAUAAUGAUGAAUAAAAUACGUCCUUUCCCUCAUGGAUUUUAUAUUCUAGUAGGAAGAAAGAAAAUGAACAUAUGGCAAAGAGAUAUGAACUACAAUGUCAGUGAAAUAAGAAAACAGGUAAUUUCUCCUCAUCUUCCUGCCCCCCUCCAUUCCUGAAUAACUACAGAACCCUGAUUUUGUUGAGAGGAAGGCUGAGCUUCUGUUCCAAGUACUCUAUGGGCAUCCACGUGACCAAGUUCUGAAUGUGGACAUGAUGACUGGAGUUCUAGCAACCACCUAUGAUGAUAAAAUGAUUUUAAGCCAUUACUAAAAAUGCAGGAAGAUAGAAUCUAGGUCCCUGAUGACAUUGUGGAGCUGCCACACAAGCCCUAGAUUGCCUACCUCUGGACUUCUUAUUCUGGGAGAAAAUAAAAUAAUUUGUUUAAGCCUCA